GGGCUGCCGGGGCGAGCGCGGCCUUGUGGGAAGCGGCGGCUGCGGGGUCGCGCGCGUGAGUGGGAGCGGGCAGGGCCUUCCAGACCCUGGACGCCCUCGUCCUUCCAGAGUACUCGGUCAGGACUUCUGCUUCUACCCAACCAGGCCUGCAGAAGCUGGGCUAAGGCCACUGGCGCGCUUCUGUCGCUGUGCUCGGGUGGUCUGUUCUUUCAGUCAUACUGCACCUCUGGAGACUAGACUCCUCAGCCACUAUCCCAGUCACGUUCCUGCUCAAGCCCAAGCCCCUCCUCCAGCUAGGAGGCGGAGAAAGCACUGAAGAUUGAUGAGCUUCCCACAAGGGACAGUGUAGGCGUAAGGAUUCAGUUUGCAAAACUAAAAAAACAUAGCAACAACCUGUUUUCCAGAGCACAUUCUUCACCUCGCCAUACCCAAAUCAGCUCCUCCUCUUUUUGUUCUCCUUUUUCUUCCCUCUUUCCUGACCUUUUCUGACUCUCCUUUUUAUUUUACUUUCUCCUCUCACCUCACUCUUUCCUUCUCCUUUCAUUAGCAUAAACAAAGUCUUACCACCAUCAAAAAUGUAUAAAAACAACCCCUUAUGGGAAUCCUGUAUUUUAUGCAUGAUUAUUCUGUAAACCCAGAAUUUCUCUAAUGAGUGGGGAAAAAACUUUGACCAAUUUUGUUGGAAAAUCAAAGAAGAGGAAGUAAAUUUUUAAAAUCAGAAACAUUCCAGGAAAUGAAACAAGCG
rnacentral:lncRNA from 1 species